UGGACUGUAGCUUAGUGGUAGAGCAUCUGCCUUAUAAGCAGAAGGCUGUGGGUUCAAUUCUCAGCAUCUCAA